CCUCCUUUCUAAGGAUGAGUGAAAGUAAAAUUUCACUCUAAAUAAUAUACAUCGGUAAUGUUGACCGUCCUCAUUUCUCUUCUUAAAAUAAUGUUUCCUUCUUGUAGGGCCGGUAGCUCAGUUGGUUAGAGCACACCCUUGAUAAGGGUGGGGUCGAAAGUUCGAGUCUUUCUCGGCCCACCAAAAACCUAAAUGGGGGAUUAGCUCAUCUGGGAGAGCGCCUGAUUUGCAUUCAGGAGGUAGCAGGUUCGAUCCCUGUAUCCUCCACCAGGAAACAUUUAGUUAUUCAAAUUGUAAAUAAAAAUAAUUUAUAUCAAUAUCUAUAUCCGAACAUUAAAAGUUAUUAUUUAAUGUUCAAAAUAAAAAUUUGAUCACAACACAGAAAAAAUUUUUUUCUGUGCAUAAAUCAAGCGUUUAAGGGCGUGUAGUGAAUGCCUUGGCACUGAAAGCCGAUGAAGGACGUGAUAUACUGCGAUAAGUUUCGGGGAGUUGUAUGUAAGCUUUGAUCCGAAGAUUUCCGAAUGGGGAAACCAAGGGCGAAUCC
rnacentral:misc_RNA from 1 species